GACGAACGCUGGCGGCGUGCUUAACACAUGCAAGUCGAACGGAAAGGCCCUGCUUUUGUGGGGUGCUCGAGUGGCGAACGGGUGAGUAACACGUGAGUAACCUGCCCUUGACUUUGGGAUAACUUCAGGAAACUGGGGCUAAUACCGGAUAGGAGCUCCUGCUGCAUGGUGGGGGUUGGAAAGUUUCGGCGGUUGGGGAUGGACUCGCGGCUUAUCAGCUUGUUGGUGGGGUAGUGGCUUACCAAGGCUUUGACGGGUAGCCGGCCUGAGAGGGUGACCGGCCACAUUGGGACUGAGAGACGGACCAGACGCCUACGGGAGGCAGCAGUGGGGAAUAUUGCGCAAUGGGCGGAAGCCAGAUGCAGCAGCGCCGCGUGCGGAAUGACGGCCUUCGGGUUGUAAACCGCUUUCGCCUGUGACGAAGCGUGAGUGACGGUAAUGGGUAAAGAAGCACCGGCUAACUACGUG
rnacentral:rRNA from 1 species